UACGUAGGGUGCGAGCGUUGUCCGGAAUUAUUGGGCGUAAAGAGCUUGUAGGCGGUUUGUCGCGUCUGCUGUGAAAAUCCGGGGCUCAACCCCGGACUUGCAGUGGGUACGGGCAGACUAGAGUGAGGUAGGGGAGACUGGAAUUCCUGGUGUAGCGGUGAAAUGCGCAGAUAUCAGGAGGAAUACCAAUGGCGAAGGCAGAUCUCUGGGACGUAACUGACGCUGAGGAGCGAAAGCAUGGGGAGCGAACAGG
rnacentral:rRNA from 1 species